ACAUUUUAGACAUUUGGGUAAGACAUUAACUAUGCCUGACAAGAGCUAUUGUAUUUGUAAAAUUUGUAUUUUAUUUGUGAAAACGUUUAAGGGGAUAUUUCACCGUUUUUGCUUUAUAACCAGUCCUUAUUAGACCAGGUCCAGAUUGAAAACCACUGUACCUACACUCCUCACAUCUGUACUCAACUAUUCUACAGAGCCUGAAAAUUCAUAAAAACAUAGUCUCUGAUUUGUGAAAACUUUAUUCUAUUUGUGAAAAUGCAAUAAAGGCACAUUUUACAGUUUUUUUCUCAUCCAGACCACAUUAGACCAGGUCCAGCUCGAGAACCGCUACACUUAGACUCUUCAAAUCUGGACUGAAUUAUUCUACAGAGCCUCUGAAUUCAUAAUAACAUAGUCUCUGAUUUGUGAAAACUUUAUUCUAUUUGUGAAAAUGCAAUAAAUGCACAUUUUACUGUUUUUUCAGCAUAUAGACCACAUUAGACCAGGUCCAGCUUGAGAACCGCUACACUUAGACUCUUCAAAUUUAGACUGAAUUAUUCUACAGAGCCUGUAGAUUCAUAAAAACAUAGUCUCUGAUUUGUGAAAACUUUAUUCUAUUUGUGAAAAUGCAAUAAAUGCACAUUUUACUGUUUUUUCAGCAUAUAGACCACAUUAGACCAGGUCCAGCUUGAGAACCGCUACACUUAGACUCUUCAAAUUUAGACUGAAUUAUUCUACAGAGCCUGUAGAUUCAUAAAAACAUAGUCUCUGAUUUGUGAAAACUUUAUUCUAUUUGUGAAAAUGCAAUAAAUGCACAUUUUACUGUUUUUUCAGCAUAUAGACCACAUUAGACCAGGUCCAGCUUGAGAACCGCUACACUAAGACUCUUCAAAUUUAGACUGAAUUAUUCUACAGAGCCUGUAGAUUCAUAAAAACAUAGUCUCUGAUUUGUGAAAACUUUAUUCUAUUUGUGAAAAUGCAAUAAAUGCACAUUUUACUGUUUUUUCAGCAUAUAAACCACAUUCGACCAGGUCCAGGUCGAGAACCGCUACACUUAGACUCUUCAAAUCUGGACUGAAUUAUUCUACAGAGCCUGUAGAUUCAUAAAAACAUAGUCUCUGAUUUGUGAAAACUUUAUUCUAUUUGUGAAAAUGCAAUAAAUGCACAUUUUACUGUUUUUUCAGCAUAUAGACCACAUUAGACCAGGUCCAGCUUGAGAACCGCUACACUAAGACUCUUCAAAUUUAGACUGAAUUAUUCUACAGAGCCUGUAGAUUCAUAAAAACAUAGUCUCUGAUUUGUGAAAACUUUAUUCUAUUUGUGAAAAUGCAAUAAAGGCACAUUUUACAGUUUUUUUCUCAUCCAGACCACAUUAGACCAGGUCCAGCUCGAGAACCGCUACACUUAGACUCUUCAAAUCUGGACUGAAUUAUUCUACAGAGCCUCUGAAUUCAUAAAAACAUAGUCUCUGAUUUGUGAAAACUUUAUUCUAUUUGUGAAAAUGCAAUAAAUGCACAUUUUACUGUUUUUUCAGCAUAUAGACCACAUUAGACCAGGUCCAGCUUGAGAACCGCUACACUUAGACUCUUCAAAUUUAGACUGAAUUAUUCUACAGAGCCUGUAGAUUCAUAAAAACAUAGUCUCUGAUUUGUGAAAACUUUAUUCUAUUUGUGAAAAUGCAAUAAAGGCACAUUUUACUGUUUUUUCAGCAUAUAGACCACAUUCGACCAGGUCCAGGUCGAGAACCGCUACACUUAGACUCUUCAAAUCUGGACUGAAUUAUUCUACAGAGCCUGUAGAUUCAUAAAAACAUAGUCUCUGAUUUGUGAAAACUUUAUUCUAUUUGUGAAAAUGCAAUAAAGGCACAUUUUACAGUUUUUUUCUCAUCCAGACCACAUUAGACCAGGUCCAGCUCGAGAACCGCUACACUUAGACUCUUCAAAUCUGGACUGAAUUAUUCUAC